rnacentral:lncRNA from 1 species
CAGUAUUGUGCAAUAGCAAAUAUUUUCAAUUGCACAGUAUUGCACAAUAGCAAGAAAUAUCUAAUUUCACAAUAUUGUGCAAUAGCAAGAAAUUCCAAUUGGAUUUCAAUUGGAGUUAUCUUUCUUUGUCCAGAAUAGUAGUUGAAUCAACUUAAAUCAUUGUUUUAUACAAUAUACAAUGUAUAUAUUCACUUUUACUACCAACUGAUAAAUUAAAACAAUCUUUACCAUUCAGUGAUAACAA